UACGUAGGGGGCUAGCGUUGUCCGGAAUCAUUGGGCGUAAAGAGCGUGUAGGCGGCCCGGUAAGUCCGCUGUGAAAGUCGGGGGCUCAACCCUCGAAUGCCGGUGGAUACUGUCGGGCUAGAGUGCGGAAGAGGCGAGUGGAAUUCCUGGUGUAGCGGUGAAAUGCGUAGAUAUCGAGAGGAACACCUGCGGCGAAGGCGGGUUGCUGGGCUGAUACUGACGCUGAUGCGCGAAAGCCAGGGGAGCGAACGGG
rnacentral:rRNA from 1 species